UGGGGAAUAUUGGACAAUGGGCGCAAGCCUGAUCCAGCCAUGCCGCGUGAGUGAUGAAGGCCUUAGGGUUGUAAUGCUCUUUUGGCGGGGACGAUAAUGACGGUACCCGCAGAAUAAGCCCCGGCUAACUUCGUGCCAGCAGCCGCGGUAAUACGAAGGGGGCUAGCGUUGUUCGGAAUUACUGGGCGUAAAGCGCACGUAGGCGGAUCAGCAAGUCAGGGGUGAAAUCCCGGGGCUCAACCUCGGAACUGCCUUUGAUACUGGCAAUCUAGAGUCCGGAAGAGGUUAGUGGAAUUCCCAGUGUAGAGGUGAAAUGCGUAGAUAUCGGAAGGAACAUCGGUGGCGAAGGCGUCUACCUGGCCUAAUACUGACACUGAGGCACGAAAGCGUGGGGAGCAAACAGGAUUAGAUACCCGUGUAGUCCCUGAGCGGGCUGGCAAGGCGCAU
rnacentral:rRNA from 1 species